GCAAAACAUUUCUGAGAUGGCGCUGUUGGUGCCAGACGACAACGUUUGACAAAAGCAGGGAUAAUGAUGAAAGAUACAGAAAAUACUAAUUCGCCACUUCAAGUGGGUGAUAUAUUAGCCGAAUUCUUUGCAAAAAAAAUGGACCAAAUGACAGAUAUCAAAGCAAAUGUAGAAACAAAUGAAAACAGUAGUAGUAAUGAUAGCAAAUAUAGUUAUGUUGAGAAGAAAAAGAAAAGAGAAAGGAAAAGUAAAAAGAGAAAGCAUAAACAUAAAAGAUCAAGAAGGAAAAAAAGUAAACACUCAAGUGAAAGUCAUCGAAAACAUAAAGU